rnacentral:rRNA from 1 species
AACGAACGCUGGCGGCAGGCCUAACACAUGCAAGUCGAACGUGAAGCAGGAGCUUGCUCCUGUGGAAAGUGGCAGACGGGUGAGUAACGCGUGGGAAUUUACCCAGCUCUACGGAAUAACGCAGGGAAACUUGUGCUAAUACCGUAUACGUCCUCCGGGAGAAAGAUUUAUCGGAGUUGGAUGAGCCCGCGUUAGAUUAGUUUGUUGGUAGGGUAACGGCCUACCAAGACUACGAUCUAUAGCUGGUCUGAGAGGAUGAUCAGCCACACUGGGACUGAGACACGGCCCAGACUCCUACGGGAGGCAGCAGUGGGGAAUAUUGCACAAUGGGCGCAAGCCUGAUGCAGCCAUGCCGCGUGAGUGAAGAAGGCCUUAGGGUUGUAAAACUCUUUCAUCGGUGAAGAUAAUGACGGUAGCCGAAGAAGAAGCCCCGGCUAACUCCGUG